rnacentral:ncRNA from 1 species
ACGCAUUGCGGGAGAACCUCCGAUUUCGGAGGCGCCGUAGGAGCAACUCCUCCCCGGGAAUCUCUCAGGCCCAAUACCGC